GAGAGAGAGAAAAAAGAAGAAGAAGAAGAAGAAAAUGGGGCUGAAAAACUUCACUGCCAUUUUUCAAAAUCAGACGACCCGUUUCCUUUCAAAGGGUAGCCAAAAAGUUCCCAUACACACCCAUUAGCGAGCUUCUUCUUUACGAAAAAAAAAACUAAAAAAAUUAGAUCAUCAUUUUCAAACCACCUUCUAGCUAGAACUGGAAACAAAAAAACAGUACAGACUCUCUCAUCAGCGCUGUCUCUUUACGCCACCCUCGAGUUACUACUAUCUUGCCCCACGUUGACUCAAGGAACCAUAGCCGCUGCUUCCACAGUACCGUUAACCUGAGGUGUUCAUUACCGGAAUCAUAACACAAGGCAGGCCAGGAGCCCACUCACGUCGUCCAUGUGCAUCUUCAGCGUGCUCGUUUUACAUUCUUGCCUCUGACCUCUCUGGACUUAGCUUUAUUCAAGCACUAGCCACUCAAAAAAAGAGUGAAGAUGAGGUACGGGAUAUCCAGUGGAGCUGUCUCCAUCAUAAUCACUCAAGGUAUAAAGCUUCCACCUAUUCUCAUGUAGUUGUAAUCUUUUUGCAUGUGCAUGCUACUGCAAAGGCAAGCUCCCGUUUUUCCUUUAUGUGCUAUGAAGUUAACAUAUAGUGUUGUAAGGUGUGUGGAUCUUUUAAGUCCUAACCUGGUCACGGGUGUUCUUUCACUUGCUACGGGUACUGAAGGGGAUGGGGUGUGAUUUUUCCUUCAAACGCAUAUGGUCUUGAAAACUUGAUUGCAUGUCCUAAGGUCAUGUUAAGACCUUGCCUAGUUAAUUAAGAAUGCUCUUACCCAAGGUUAAAGUUCAAGAACGGUAUGAGAAGGUGGAAAAAGAUGUUGACAACUAUUGGGGUCAUAGGUUUUCCUUUUUUUUUUUUUGUCUUCAGAAAAUAAAAAUGCAUAGGACUGUCAGGGAGUUUUUCCAUACCAUGCUUGGGCUUCGGAUGUAUGUUUCCUUUACGUACAUGAGAUGAUGGUUACCUUGCUUUACGUACAGAAAUCUCCAAUGACUAAAUAAAAUGAUUUUUGGUUGAAGAAGAAUCGGUAUGUGCAAGGGUUUCUGGUUCAUUUCUUUUUACUGUCCCAUGGCUUUUCGUUAAUGCUAGUACAGCUAUAUUUCUCUUUUCUAAAGUUAAGUAGGUUGAUAUAUAUAGAAAUCGGUUUAUCACGGGUUUAAGAAUAUUAAAGAAAAAAAAAAAAAAAAAGCUUUCAUGGGUCUUCAAGGCACAAACACUCAUAUGACAAAUUUUAAGUUUUCUUUUUCACUAAGGACAUGUGUGGUAAAUAUGACCAAACAUAUUUUUCAUGGCCUUUAUUUUCUUUUCUUAAUUUUUUUUUGUUUUGUCUAACAUAUCUUAGUCUAAUUUUAAUUAUUUUUCAAGUUUUGAAGAGCCAUUUUGCAACUAUAUUUUUGGUUUUCCACGUCAUUUUUUACCUUUUCAUAUUUAAAAACAAGUUUAUUAAAUCCACAGGGAUUUGGCCUAAGUUUUAAAAAUACUAAAAAAAUUAAUUUGUUUAUUUUAAUACAAUGAAUUAUGAGCUUAUAUCUAAAAUGUAUUCUCGAUAUUAAAAGGAACAAAUGCAAAAAUAUGUUUUGGCUCUAGAAUGGCUAGACUUGACCCAUAAAGCCAUGGUUCUCUGUACUAGGGUAGACCUUCUUUAACUAAUAGACAAAUCAAUGAUUAGAUAAAGAAAACAGUGCCUUAGUAAUAAUCAGAAAAAUAAACAAUAAAGCUUAUCUUAGGUAUGAUUACUAAGGGUGAUAAUGUCCAUCCUAUAUACAACUUGUCCCCUUGUCUAGACUCUGAAGACUAGUUAGAGUUUUCAGUGAUCAAAAUACAAGAUAGCAACUCCAAGCAUUUUUUAUUUAUAAAGGACAAGAAGUCCAUGUUCUUUCCACACCACACCAAAGUCCUGAUCUAGGAGGAUGAUCGCAAUGAUACCACAUCCGUGCCACAUUCAACAUUGUAUUUUCCAUGAGUUAUCCUUUCUAUUUUUCAAUUACUUUGAUCCAAAUAAUGUGUUACCCUCUCAACAUUCUUCAAAGUCAACAUGUACUUCUACUAAUUGAUCUAAAUAUGAAUGUGAUGCGAUGUAAAUGAGUAUACAAGAUUAAACAUAUGGAAGAUGGGACUUUUUAGCACUACAAAACAUGUUUGGUGGCCAAAUGCUAUUAUCGACAAAAAAGGGUUUGAUUUUCAAGAGAUAUUUAGUGUAGUGAGGAAGCCUUGCACUAUUUAGACAAUGCUCGAUAUUGGUGAUACUUGAGGUUGGUCGGCUUAUUAGAGGGAUUUCUUCAUUUAGAUGUGUUUAUAACCCAAGCCAGGUUGUUAAAAUCGCGAGUUAUGAGUCAACAUGUAUCUAACGUGCUAAAUCGGACUAAAAACUCAAAAAUAGUAAAAUCAGACUUGUGCAAAAUCAGUAAAAUCGGUAAACUCAGUCCGAUUUUAUGAGUUUACUAAAUUUGUGAUAUGAAUCAAGUCAGGUUCAAAUUUGGCCUUAAAAUAUCUGCUGACUAGUUUUGCGAGAUUGAGCAUAUAUUUCAAACUGUAUAUUGGAUAAAACUGAUAUUUUACAGGAAAAUAUUAGAUACAUAAACAUAUAUUGUGGUAAAUUGUUAGGUCAAAUAGAGUUAGGAAACAUAAUUUUAGAGGGUCAAAGUUAGUAAACUAAUAUUGUCAAAUAUGUCAAACAAGUCCUUCGUGUACUGUUUGGAACAUAUCCAGAGCUACCGGUGGAAUUUUGCUUCAAUUAAAGUUGGGAUAGAAACUAGACAUCUGAAACUUUCCAACUAUAUACGUAGGCCCAAGAAUUCAUCCAAACAAGAGAGAAUGACAUGUUUGAAAUCAGGACUCAAAUCUACCAAGAAUAUGCAAAAAAUAGAAGAUUCAGGUUACAUGGAUGAAUUUUAACAUGAAGACUUUUUUAUUAUUCUAUUUUAUUUAUUUAAUUUUAAAUAAUUAUUUUUAAUUUGAAUUUUUUCUAGCGCAUUAGACAUUGUUUAGGAAUUUGUUUUAUUAUUGAAUUUAUGUUAGUUAAUUACUAAUUUAAACUUAUUAGCUUGCAACCCAAAAGGGGUCUAUCAAGACUUAUUGUGAUAGGAACAACCAGGUUGUCACUAGGUUUAUGUGUGCUUCCUACCUUUCAGUGAUUCCCUUGUAUUGAAAAAUUUUGUUCUGUGACUUUUUAUUUCUCCAUGUCAUUAAUUUAUUGAUUCAUACUAUCUAUCUCUCUCAUUUUAUUUAGAUCGCUCAUUGAUUAUAAUAUUGUUGACUCAUUUUAUUAGAUUUUAAUGUAAUUUAAUUUCUUGACUAAAAUUAUCAAUAUAUAAUUAGUUAAAAAAUUAUUUAUGAUUUUACGAUUUUACGAUCUGAGUUUAUUUUAUAUUUUUCGUGUCGUGUCAAAAAAUAUUUUUGACAACCUUGAACCCAGGCUCUUGACUUUAUUGAUCCACAAUCCCCAAACCAUAUUCGCAAACUAAAACUUUUUUUUUAUAGUUUAAAACAAGCACCUCGUGCAUGUAUUGAUUGCUUAGUGAAUUCUUAGUUUCUCAAUGGAUUUUAUAUUCGUAAAUUUUUAAGUGAACCCAGGUUAUAUUAUCAUGAUAACUAAAAUAAAAUGAGCUAAAUUUAUUUAUAAAAUGAGCACCACACGCUUAGAUUUAAAUUCCAUAGAAAGAUUAGCACCUGAUGACAAGUUAACUCGGGAAACAAAGGUAAUAACAAAGUUUUGAGAUUGAAUUCGACACUAGGUCUACUUAGUAGUUAGUACAUAUAAGUUGAAGGAUUGCUACCUUGACCAAUGAACUGAAAAUAUCUUUAAUUUAUAAUGAAUGGCAUACACCAUACAGUUUUACCAUAUCAACAGCAUGAAAAUUGAUAAUCGAUCCUUUAGGGAUAUUAUUCCAUUUCUUUAUUAAUUAUCAUAAAAACAUUUAUUAAAUGUGUUGUCCUCCAACUCUUUCCAUAAAAAGAAAGAGUUGUGAACCACAACAUACAUUUGAUCAUGGACAAAAGGUAAUCAAAUAGUUGCCUCCACUAGGACAAGUAAACGUGCUCGAUUUAUCAUCAAAAGCAUAACUAUAAGCUUGAGGACACUGCUGCUUGAAAGUCAUCGAAUAUUGGGUAGGAGGACAUGUUUCAGCUGUAUUAUACUCUCCUGUGCAGCAGUACUGCGGCUGGUUAAAUGCCAAACACGCACUCUUGCAGGCAAUCACAGUCCCAUCUGAACCUUUCACUGCUAAACUAGGAUCACAAACAGCAUUCACGUUAGCUGCACAGCUUGUAGAAGGGCAGCCAGUAGAACCUCCUUGCGGGGUUACCGAAAUUGGGAGGUUAAAGCCAUCAACAAGGCUUAUAUCGUAAUAAUCUUUCCCACCAUCACCGCUUAGAGUAAAUUCUGCCAAGGAUGCUGGUGGGAUCGCACCGGCUCCAUUGCAUUCUAUGACACCAGAGCCACAGUCAGCAGUAGCACAAACAAACUUUCCCGAGGCAUCUGUAGAGCAUUGCGUUCUGGCCCACAAGCGGCCAGACCAAUUGACAGGGACACUCAGCGAAGAUGAAGCACCCGUUGCCAAUGUGAAGCCAGUUGAAGAUAAAGACGGACCGCCAGCAGCCGUUAGAGUUCCUGGCCAGACUGUGUAUGGACAGUUGUUUGUGAAGUCGAAAGUCACAGAUUGAGCUCCUGCAUGCGUGCAAGAUUUAUUUUUGUUGAUAUCAAUAAUUAAAUCUUGGUCGAUUCAAAGAUAACAUAAUUCAAUAUUUAAAAUCUUGUAUUAAUUCAGUUAUUUUUCUUUUAAAAAUAUAACAUAACCCAUGUUUUUUUUUAAUAUAUUUUUUUCUUUUUUCUUUUUUAUCUGGAAACUCCCUCCUGGAUAAAUUUAUUGGAUUCACGAAAUCCAUUGAAUAAUGAAAACUAGUUAAUAUUGCAUACGCAAACAGAAAAUAUAUAUGUAGAAUAAUCAAAGUGAAUAAUAUGCAUAAUAGAGUUUUCCAUGCAAGAAUCUAGUAUAUGUAAUAUUGUAAAACUACUUGCCAUAGAGGAAGAUGACGAGGGUGAAGGUAAUUAUAGCAAUAUUGGGCAUACGACUCUCCAUUGCCGAGAUGCGUCGAAUUAAGACCUUUUCAGUAUCUUUCAAGAGAUUUGAGGUAACCAAGAAACACUCUAUAUUUUAAAAAUAUUAUGAAAUGAGCAGACUUAAUAAAUAGUGUAAAAUUUGCAGACUAGUAAACAGAGGAACGUCCUGCUUCUCACGUCAAAUGAAAGCAACACCCAAUUGAAUAUUGAAUGCAACUCUGGUCCAGCAGACGAGCCGUGAUGAAUGUGAGAGUCUUCAAAAUUAAAGAAAAAAAAUUCACCACCUAUUAAUUAAAAACUUUAGAAUUUAAAAAUAGACAUUGGUUAGAGAUUUAGACAUUGAGCUAGUUAAGUCUAAGAAAGAUCAAUAUCACCCUUAUCAUAUCCUUUAAAAUGAAAAGUUACCUCCACAAUGCAUUUAAGAAAAAUUAUUCCAUGCAUAAUAUUAAUUAUCUAAAUUUAUUUCUAAUCUUUUCGUGAUUUAUUUUAAUAAAAAAUUGGCAAUUCAAAAUUUAUUUCUCAUACAGACUAAACUAGAACUAUUUAUCAAGAAUUAUUUGUGCUAAUAAAUAUUAAAGAAACUCGUUAAUGAUAAGUAAAGACUAAACUAGGAUCAAAUUGAUGCUUAAAAUCAUAAUUCUCCAUUAAGUUAUCAAACAAUUCUGAAAAUUUGUGUGGACCCUUCUAAUAUGAUACUUUAACUUGAGUUAAAAUUUCAGAGUUUUUGAAGAAAGUCAGAAAUUUGAUGAAAAAUCACAAUUUUACCAGUUUUACGUUAUUGGGCGUAAUUUUCAAUCCGACCAUCCAAUUGAGCUGAAAUUUUACAAGGAAUCUUCAAAUAUAUUGAAUAAAAUCUGAUUAAAAUCUGAUUAAAUGAACGGAGCUUGGUAGUGCUAACAAAAAAAAGGACCGUCAAAUAAAAGCAAAACAACUCAUUAAGGGCAAAAUAGUUAUUUGCCAUUAAAAAUAAAACAAAUUAUCUCUUCCUUCUUUUUAUAUGUUGCCGACUGAGCAGAAGCAAAAUAGAAAAAGAAAGAAAAGAAAAGACGAGAGAGAAAGAGAGAAACGUAAGGGAAAACAUAAAAAGAAAAAUCAAAGGAAAAAAAAUAAGUGAGAGAAUAACCUUGUACACUUAUAAAGUCCGACUUAUAAAACACUAAUCUUAGAAAGAAUCAAGUGAAGGAAUGAGGAAUUGAGAAAGGGAAAAAAAUUUAAUUAUUUUUUUUCCAGUUGAUAUGAGAUUGUUAUUUUAUCCUGGUUAAGGGGUUGUUACAAUAUCGAUUCAGAUUCGAUUAUAAAUGAAUUAUAUUCCACAAAACAUCGAAGGAUAUAACUUCAAUAGUAGGUUUAUUUUUACUUUCACUUCAAUUUUAUGUACUUUUAAAUUUAUUUUUUAAUAUUUUGGAUAAUGUAUUUCAAUUAAAAUUUUACUGUUAACUUAAAAAAUUCAUAUACAUAAGUUAAUAAUUGAUCUUAAAAAAAUUUAUAUAUUUAUUUAAUAACCCAGGACGGGAAAAAUUCUUGACUCUGCUGGUAACAACCAUCUUCCACACGCACCGUCUCAUCCACGAUGACAUUUGACAAUGAAUGUCAAAUUAUAAAAUUAUAAUUUAUUUAUAUUUAUAAAAAAUUAAAUUAUAAAAUUGGGUCUAUCACCUAAAGUGCGCAGAGACCGUCCAUGCACUGACCUGCACUCAUCCAAAAAUUGAAUAUUGAAUGUAACUCUGGUCCAGCAGACGAGCCGUGAUGAAUGUGACCCUCUUCAAAAUUAUCACACCGUGAUGAAUGCGAGAUUCUUCAAAAUUAAAGGAAAAAAAAGUCACCACCUAUUAAUUAAAAAAUUUAGAAUUUAAAAAUAGACAUUGGUUAGAGAUUUAGACAUUGGUUAGAGAUUUAGACAUUGUGCUAGUUAAGUAUAAGAAAGAUCAAUAUCACCCUUAUCAUAUCCUUUAAAAUAAAAAGUUACCUCCACAAUGCAUUUAAGAAAAAUUAUUCGGUGCAUAAUAUUAAUUAUCUAAAUUUAUUUCUAAUGUUUUUCGUGAUUUAUUUUAAUAAAAAAUUGGCAAUUCAAAAUUUAUUUCGCAUACAUAUUAUUAAAUAAAUCAAGAAUUAUCUAUGCUAAUAAAUAUAAAAGAAACCCGUUAAUGAUAAAUAAAGACUAAACUAGGAAAAUUAAGAGAUAAAUAUAAACCAAAAUAUUUGAUAUCGCAACACGAAGCAUGUACCUAGUUGUGUUUAAUAAUUUAUUUAUUUGAAUAAAUUUUGUAUUUAAUAAAAUGAUUAUCCGUGCCAAUAAAAUGAUGUCUACCCAAUACAUUUUUUUUUGUAUUUCAAAAUAUUAUGAAAUGAGCAUCACAUGCUUAUAUUUAUUAAAUUAUAUUAUAUUAUAUUAAAUGAAAAAAAUAUUUAUAAAAAAAAUAAAUUAAAAAACAAAUAAAAAUACUCGAGAUAUCCCAAGUCCUUUUCAAAAUAAGUGAAAAAUCCUAUAGAAAAAACAAAAAAAAAACCUUCUAGAGGAUGAUAUUUUAAAAAAAAAUUCAAAUUAAAAAAUGAUCUCAAAUAAAAAAAUAAGAAUUAAAAGAACAGGGACAAAAUUUGGAAGAUGAAAAAACCAAAGGGAAUG
rnacentral:lncRNA from 1 species